rnacentral:precursor_RNA from 12 species
CAAGCAGUAAAGGACCACCCAGCCAUGCACAUCCUAAUGCAGAGCACUUAUUGGAUAUUUAAGAAGCAAAAGUGCCCUCUGUUAGGAUGAGCCCGACUGAGGAUGAAGACAUUGGUUUGC